rnacentral:sRNA from 1 species
AGAAGAUUAUGAGGGAAAGGAAAUUGACAAGGCAUGAUAUUGGUCGUGAAAGCUUUGUAACUGAAGUGAGUUUAGCCACCUCAUCUUAUUACUCUUAUAAUAUAUAUAUGUGUGUGUGUGUGUGUGUGUGUGUGUGUGUGGAGGAGGGGGAGAGAGACUUAUGCUUGGGCCUAGUAGAAAUAUGAAGGCUAAGACACCAAGUUACCUAUAUAAAGGACUUCUA